rnacentral:lncRNA from 1 species
UUGAAAUGCUCUCAGACAGCAACUGCACAAGCCCUCCCAGCUCUCUGCAGAAUUCUGUCUGGCAGAUUUCUGUGCUACACCCUGCUCAUAGUGGAUGCCUGACAACUAUUUAAGGUGACCAGACACAAUGACAGCACUACUAGAAGAAAUAGCUGCUGUAAACAGGUGAGAGACUAUAACCCUCCCUGCCACGUGUCUUUCUAUACAGUCCAGGCCUCUUCUUCACAUGCCAUUAGAUAAUAACAGUUGCUUUCCAUAUGGAAGAAGCUUUCUCCUGCAGGCCUCUGGGAAGCAUCCAGAUGUCCUAUUAAAAUGCAGAUUUUUCUCAUACCUUUGGGGUUUGAAAUAGCCAUCACCACCCUUAGCCCUACUGUGUGGUAUGGCUUCCUUCCGUUGCUUUUGCACACUUGGAGGUAAAUGGAUGUAACUGUGUAGUUUUAAAGCAUCAUCCUUCAGCACCUUAUUUAUUUAUUUAUUUAUCCCCUCCCUACCCCAUGUAUUAGGUGCUAACUCGAGGGUUUCUUAACUUGCUCUGGAAAAGGACCAGAACUCUUUCAUCCUAAGAACUUCAGAUUGAAAAUCUCCAACAAGUUCCUGCAUUUUAGAGAAAGCUCAAUGAGCAAAGCUUUUGAAGGUAGAGGCUGCUUUUUGGUGGUAGUGAUGGUGCAGGAGGCUUCUGGAUACUGGCGAUCUCAUUGUAUAGCUCUGGCUGGUCUAGGACUUGAAAUGUAGACCCGAUCGUCCUGGAACACACAGAGAUCUACCUGCCUCUGUCUCCUGAGUGCUGGGAUUAAAGGC